rnacentral:rRNA from 1 species
UAGUCCACGCCGUAAACGAUGAGUGCUAGAUGUCGGGAAUUGACUCGGUAUCACAGCUAACGCGUUAAGCACUCCGCCUGGGGGCUACGGCCGCAAGGUUAAAACUCAAAGGAAUUGACGGGGACCCGCACAAGCGGUGGAGCAUGUGGUUUAAUUCGAUGCUACGCGAAGAACCUUACCACCCUUUGACAUCCUGAUCGCGGAAAGCAGAGACGCUUUCCUUCAGUUAGGCUGGAUCAGUGACAGGUGUUGCAUGGCUGUCGUCAGCUCGUGUCGUGAGAUGUUGGGUUAAGUCCCGCAACGAGCGCAACCCUCAUCCUACGUUGCCAGCGGGUUAUGCCGGGGACUCUUAGGAAACUGCUCGUGAUAAGCGAGAGGGAAGGUGGGGGAUGACGUCAAGUCAUCAUGGGCCCUUACAGGGGUGGGGCUACACACGUGCUACAAUGGCAGUGACAA